rnacentral:rRNA from 1 species
UACGGGGGGAGCAAGCGUUGUUCGGAUUUACUGGGCGUAAAGGGCGCGUAGGCGGCCACCGCAAGUCGACUGUGAAAUCUCCGGGCUUAACCCGGAAAGGUCAGCCGAUACUGCGGGGCUAGAGUGCAGAAGGGGCAACUGGAAUUCUCGGUGUAGCGGUGAAAUGCGUAGAUAUCGAGAGGAACACCUGCGGCGAAGGCGGGUUGCUGGGCUGACACUGACGCUGAUGCGCGAAAGCUAGGGGAGCGAAUGGG